CGCCGGAGCCUGCGGGGUGCCUGGGCGUCCCUGGCUGGCGACUCUGUUCUCUCUCUGGGGGUGCGGCUGGGAGCGGAGAGCGGACUGGGGAAUGUUCUGAAGUUGGCGGUGACCGUGAGGCCUGGAGCCCUUGGCAGAGCUGUUGGAGGGGAUCUGGAGCUCAGCCGAGGGUUGCUGGGACUGCCUCCGCGAAAAGGGCGUGUCUGUGGGCGCAGGUGCCCCCGCAAGCUUUCGGAAGCUCGUGACUUCGCGAAUCCCGAGCGGGGCGGCGCCGGAGCCCCACCCCCGGCCGGCGGAGCCACUCCGCAGCCAGGCUGGGGAGGGGCGCGGGCUGCGGGCUGGGUCCCCGCGGAACUUUCAAGUUGGACGUGCGACGGGUCUCUCAGGAUCCCAUAUAUAGAGAGAUUUUUUUUUUCCUUUUCGGAUUCUCCGCGAAGAGGUGGAGAAACAGGAUGGGAAGCGGAUUGGUUGCACUGUGGCACGGAACUGGAAACCUUCCUGAAAGAGGUUGGGGCAGGCAGUGACUGUUCAGAAGUCCAGUUGCUUUGGGACACUUCUUCAGCGCUGCCUUCCCUGCCUCUGCUUUUAGGAUGCGUCUCAAACACCAGCAAACCCAAGGCGUGAUCCCCUCUCAGGUCUGCUGCGAAGGGACGGGAGGAAGAGAAAGCCUUUCCCUCUUACUGCCAGUUUUGUGUGUUUGUUUCAAAUACUAAUGGACGGUAAAACAAUACGGAUGUGUCCCCUCCCACCGAGCCCCUGAAGAGAUGGUGCCCUGGCACCGCCAGACGUGGCCGGAGUUGAGAUCUCAGACGCAGCUGGAGAGGUGAGCCACGGUGGAAGGCCAGGGCUGAGGCUCCAGCUCCUGGCUGCGGACGACAGCCCUGCUGCUCAGCCUUCUCUCUGGCAGAUCCCAGCGCCCCUCCGGUGGUGGCCCUUCAAAGACUGGAGGAACGCUGGGGUCCAGAACCUACUCGGCGCCCAGAAGACCCCACCAGCCAAGACCGGAAGACUGGUCUCCUCCCUGCGUGCCGGCCGACGGUCUGGCGGGGUCUGUGAAGACUGAAUCCCUGAGAAGUCGAAGCUGCAGGAGAAAUGAAAUCACACGCUUUCCUUCUUGGUGCUCCCGGACCCAUUCUAAACUGAACUGUGCCCCAGUCACCUUCUCCCUCUGGUGGAUGUGCCUCUUCUGGCGCCAAUUAUCUCUUUCCCAAUGGGUUCUUGCCCAGAAAAGCAGUCUGAACCCUAGAGCGGCGGAGAGACUGGUGCUUUGGAGGAGGCAGGCGGAGGCUCUGGCUCUCCCACCUAGCUACUUGCCCUUCUUCCGUACUCACAAUUCCUAGUGACAGAUAUGCUUCAGCACUGAAUUGACCAAGUAAAUAUCCAAUGGGAAAUGGAUAAAUUACACCUUUUCUCAAAUAAAAAAAGAGGUAUUCUAUUACCAGUUCUGUUAUUAUAACACCAUGAAUAAUUACAGAUCCGC
ensembl:lncRNA